UUCAAGACUCGAUCGCUGUCGUCACAGCCUCGACUCCCCUCCCUACCAAUUCUUUCACUUACUUUGAACGAAGUGGCCGGGGAUCGUUGUGGAAUUGGUCAAGGCAAGCUUCGUAUGCUUCGGAUUCGUUUCUUUUGGCGGAUUUUUUGGGUGUUCUUAGGGUUGUAGGUCGACUCUUUGUUUCGAUCUCUUCGUAUGUAUUUCUUUCUCCGGUUUCUUGGUGACUCAGAACGCGUCUUUCUUGCGAAUAGAUUGAUUCUUGGGUAAUCAUUUAUGGCGGAUGUGUGGAGCCUUCGAUUGGGCGGGUUAGGGUUUUGGGAAGGAUUACAUAAUCAUUUAAGAAUUAUUUCUCGGCGAAUUUGGCCUCAUGAGAAUUGUUAGGGGAAUGCGAAAAUUGGUCUGCGGUGAGGAAGGCGUGCUGGAGAAUAAGGCAUCGAUCGGCUGGGGAAAUGCUGUCACUUCUUCCAUGGUCAUAAAUCGAGAUAAAGGAUGCUUCAGGCUCUGAACCUUUGAAUGGAAACAAGGACUGUCAUCCUGAUUCGAUUGCAAGGGAGGAGUAGGCGGAGGUUAUCGUCUCUAGGAGAUUGAAGUGAAUGAAGCUGUUCUCCAGUUCACAAGUCUAAGUUUCUAUGUAGCUCGAAAAGUGAGCCUUCAGUGGAUGGGUUUGGCAUUUCAUCUAAAGGAGAUCUUUUCAUUAUUUUGUUACUGCUUUUUUCCAUAUAACUUUCUGGGAUAAUUUGAUGCCCUUUGAAUGACAUGAUUGCUGAUGCUGAUGGUUCCUCUAAAUAAUAGAUGAAACACUGUUUCCUGUGCAUCAAUAUAUUUCUUUGAUGUCAUUUCACAACUCAUUAGAUACAUCACUUUUUUAGGUGGUUCCUAUUGUUGUCUGUUUUCUAGGAUUCCUUUCCGUGGAUAUUCCUGACUUUUAUCUUUGCUUCUCUUCUAUUGAUGUCUUUUCUUGAUAUGAAUUUCUUCUUUUCAUCCUCCAAUGUCGAUUGCCUGCUUUUCCAACUUUUAGGUGCUCAUCCAGGUUCUUAGAUCCAUUAAACAGUUUGAUGAUCCUUGGAAGGAAGGUACUGGGUUAUCAACUAAUUCCAAGUUGGAAUUCUGUGAAGGACUUUUGCCAUGCUGUAGUGAUAUAUAGAAGAGGCAAACAUUUUCACCUUUUGAGAGUUGUAUGUUGAGUAUUUGCAAUCUGUUAACCUACCAAAACUACAGUUUUCAUGUCUUAGGACAAUAGAGAGCUGGAUACUUGUUUUAACAUUUAUUAUAGUGUCAUGUAUCUGUUUGGAAAUUUAGUAAAGUGGUUCUUCUUUCAGUAUGACUUGAGGCCCCUAAAUCAUGAUUUAAAUUGUUGGUCGGAGGACUGAUGUUUACCUAUUGAUAUUAAUCACUGGUACAGAAGCAUAGAACUCAGUAUAUCUGAAUCAUUUAUAUUUAUUAUAUUGUUUUUUCCGGUGACAUGCAUGGCACAGGUCGCUCUUGGUAUCUUGUUACUGUACCUCCCUGAUAUUUUUUUUGAAACCAGUAUUGAACUGCUAUCGAAAACCAUACCCUAAAUAAUUGCAUGAUGACAGACACUUCAUGGGUAGAAUAUUUAGCUAAGGAGAAACCGAAGCAGUAUCCUUUGUUUACAGAGUCUUACGCAUGCAGGGCAGAACCACAAUCUUCUGUGGCAAGUGAGUCCCUUCUGUAUCUUAUUUCGUUGAUCUCUGAAGUUGACUGCAUACAUGGAGGAAAGCCAAUGAUUUCUUAACAGUGAUGCCGUCAUCAUGGUCGUGAUACUGAGAUGGUGCUCAUCAGCGGUGCGCAGACGGUUUUGUUUAUGAGUUUUGGUUACAUGCAGGUCAUGGAAGCAUUAUAGCAUUUUUUGGUGAUGAUGUGGAUUCUACGAUCUGCUACCUGUUGGAGAUGGAAGGCAGCUAAGCUGUGCAUCUCCUGGUGGCAGAAACCGACACAAAGGGAGAGCAGUAGCAGAGUGAGUAUUGGAGGUUUGUCACGUUCAUACUGGUCCAUGGUCAGAAUGGUAUGGAUUCGACCUAUUUUGACAUAGGGGAGGGGGGAAUACGUCCGAAGAAGAAGAGGAAGAAGUGGAAGGAAAAAAAAAUAAAUAAAGGAAAGAAGCAGUACCGGAGCGGACGGUCGCAUGGCGAGUUGGUCUGAUUGGCAGUCAGACCGGUAAAUAUUGAUCCUCAACGACCGAAUCAAUUGGUUUGUUAUGGGUCUGUUUUAUAUCUUACGUAACCAAAGCUACUCAUCCUGAUGCGUGUUAAAAAAAAAGCUUAGUGAGUGCAUAAUAAUUCUGUCGACUGAUGAUUCGCAUAAGCAUCCUGCCACCCAUCCGGAUGUCUGGGUGCAGGAGAAAUGCUAUCGUUGAAGAAGGAUCCAAGUCCAGACUAUUAUAACAGUGGUUCUUCCGAUAAAAUAAUAUAUUGCUAAUUCCACA